rnacentral:rRNA from 1 species
GUGGGGAAUAUUCCGCAAUGGACGAAAGUCUGACGGAGCAACGCCGCGUGAGUGAUGAAGGUUUUCGGACUGUAAAGCUCUGUUGUUUGGGACGAAAGUGCCUGUUGCGAACAGUUACGGGUAUUGACGGUACUAAACGAGGAAGCCACGGCUAACUACGUGCCAGCAGCCGCGGUAAUACGUAGGUGGCAAGCGUUGUCCGGAAUUAUUGGGCGUAAAGAGCAUGUAGGCGGGAAUCUAAGUCUGUUGUUAAAAUGCGGGGCUCAACCCCGUAUUGCGAUGGAAACUGGGUUGCUUGAGUGCAGGAGAGGAAAGGGGAAUUCCCAGUGUAGCGGUGAAAUGCGUAGAUAUUGGGAGGAACACCAGUGGCGAAGGCGCCUUUCUGGACUGUGUCUGACGCUGAGAUGCGAAAGCCAGGGUAGCGAACGGGAUUAGAAACCCGGGUAGUCC